GAUGAACGCUGGCGGCGUGCCUAAUACAUGCAAGUCGAGCGAAUGGAUUAAGAGCUUGCUCUUAUGAAGUUAGCGGCGGACGGGUGAGUAACACGUGGGUAACCUGCCCAUAAGACUGGGAUAACUCCGGGAAACCGGGGCUAAUACCGGAUAACAUUUUGAACCGCAUGGUUCGAAAUUGAAAGGCGGCUUCGGCUGUCACUUAUGGAUGGACCCGCGUCGCAUUAGCUAGUUGGUGAGGUAACGGCUCACCAAGGCAACGAUGCGUAGCCGACCUGAGAGGGGGAUCGGACACACUGGGACUGAGACACGGCCCAGACUCCUACGGGAGGCAGCAGUAGGGAAUCUUCCGCAAUGGACGAAAGUCUGACGGAGCAACACCGCGUGAGUGAUGAAGGCUUUCGGGUCGUAAAACUCUGUUGUUAGGGAAGAACAAGUGCUAGUUGAAUAAGCUGGCACCUUGACGGUACCUAACCAGAAAGCCACGGCUAACUACGUGCCAGCCGCCGCAGUAA
rnacentral:rRNA from 1 species